rnacentral:rRNA from 1 species
GUCUACGGCUAUGCCACCCUGAACAAGCCCAAUCCCGUCUGAUCUCAAAAGCUAAGCAGAGUCGGGCCUGGUUAGUACUUGAAUGGGAGAUCACCUAGGAAGACCGGGUGCUGUAGGCG